GGGCUUGUGGUUUAGUGGUAUAAUACUCCCUUAGCAUCUUGCUUGGAAAUCUGGGAGUGGUCCGGGGUUCGAUUCCCCGCGAGUCCA